rnacentral:lncRNA from 1 species
AGCAUAUAGGGUUUUCAACCCACAAUAAAUAUCAUAUUUAAUUUUCACCAACCAACAAUAACCCAAUUACCCAUUCCCGUUAUUCUCACUUUAAUGUCCCUAAAACAACUAACAUAAGGGACCUAGUCUAAGAAUAUUUCAUCGGGGCGACAACACAUGCUUCGGGGGUACCUCAGCAAUAUAAGUCAAAUAAGGCAACCAUGAGGGGGAUGGAGUACAGCGAAUGAACACCCAAGUUCAUUAACACCUACAGGUGGCGAACCUGCUAAUGUUUCCACAAGACUGUCUAGAAUAGCCAGUGGUCGUCAUCUAAACUCCGCUAGAUGACUCAAUCAAACAACAACGAGGCCUCUCAUCUGUUUAUUACACACCAACUGUCUACCCAUGUUCUACCCAACAUAUUAGUAGAUAAAAAUAUACAUUUGUAUACAUAGUUUAAAGAAAACCUGUAUAGCAUGCUUUAAUCAACACAUAUAUCACAUAACAGAUGAGGCACACACACACAUAACACAUAUCUCAUAAAGAAAUAAGCAGAUCUAUAAGAUAGAAGAGAGUGAAUACUCAUUCACACAUAACACAACCAAAUAUAUACACAUAGCACGUAUUUUUAUAUAAAAUACUUCGUAUUAUUGUAUUAGAAGAAAUAACUACACACUCACUUGAUCAGAAGAUGAUCGGACAGCACUACGGCUUAUAGAAGUAGUAAUCCACAGCAGAUCUGGAAGAUCUUCUCGAAAAUCGAACUUCUCGCGGGCAGAGCUUCGACUCGGGAACCGCACUUUUCGGGAUCUUCGGGAUCUCGGGACUUGCCUCGGGGCUAGAGUAUGAUACCGGGACUUCGGGGUAGCUUCGGGGGUUUUUGCACAGAGCUUCGACACGAAAACGAGAGGGAAUUGGCAAAAAUACCCGGAACCCUCGCAUCCUAUUUAUAGGAGGCUGGAGCCUCGGAGUACGCGGGGCGUACUGCGUUACGCGGGGCGUACUGCCCAAAACGUCAUUGCUUACGUAUCCGAAGUGCUCGAGUGCGAGUGUCGACAUCCCUCGGAGUACGCGGGGCGUACUCGAGUACGCGGGGCGUACCUCGGAUCAGAUCGGUGACUCCUUCGGAUAAUGCUUCCGAAUUUUGAAUUAAAAAUAAAUACAAAAUGAUUAAUAAACUUCGGAAAUUCAUAACUUCUUCAUACGAACUCCGUUUUCGACGUUCUUUAUAUCCACGCGAAGGUGAGACCACGCUCUACGACUUUCGUUUAGACUCCGUCGGCUAAUUUUGACUUUAUUUUUAUUAAUUAUUUUUAAUAGGCCGGGACAGAAACUUUCGUUAUAAAUUCAUAACUUCUUCGUUUGACGUCCGUUCUCGCCUAACUUUUUAUCGUUUCAAUACCAACAAUGAGAUCUUCGAUUCUCAUUUAGAUUGCUUCGGCUAACAACCGCUCGAUCUCAAAUCGAGUAAAACAGGCUGUAUAUCGCUAAGCCGGAACUUCGAUAAAUCAUAACUUCCUCAUACGAAGUCAGAUUUGGGCGUUCUAUAUAUAUUCGGAAACCUCGUUUCAACUACUACAACAUUAACCAAAGAUAUUAAGUUUAUUUUACACUUAAAUUUUGACGCUUAUUUUUAUUCUUAAUUAAUCAAACCACAUAAUUAAGCAAUUAAGCACAAAACACAUAAUACUCAAAUAAUACAAUCUUAUUAUUUCAAAACGGGUUACAAAGGUUAACCUAGACUAUUACAUUGCUAAAAAUGGCAAGCCCGGAAACACAGGCGUUACAAUUCUCUCCACCUUAGAAUGAUUCCGUCCCCGGAAUCACACAUCAACAAACAAAUGCGGAUAGCGACUCAACAUGUCACUCUCCGUCUCCCAGGUGAGAUUCGGCCCAUUCGUGUGUUUCCAUCGGACAAGCACUAACCCAACCAUUUUGCGUCGCAACUUCUUAGUCUUUCGGUCAACAAUUGCCUCUGGUUCUUCAAUCAACCUUUUGUUCUCAUCAAUUCUCAAUUCAGAAAUUGGAAUUAUAUCGGGAACUUCUCCCGUGAACUUCCUCAAAUAACACACAUGAAAGGUGUUGUGAAUUCCAUUCAGUUCUUCGGGUAAUUCGAGCUUGUAAGCUUGAUUCCCAAUCCUCUGAAGGACUUUAAACGGUCCAAUAAACCUUGGACUCAACUUUCCCCUUUUACCAAAUCUUAUAAGUCCCUUCCACGGCGAGACUUUAAGCAAAACCGAAUCUCCAACCUCAAAAGUCAUCGGUCUUCGCUUCUUGUCAGCAUAGCUCUUUUGACGAUCUUGAGCUGCUAACAUUCUUUCCCUAAUUAUUUUCAACUUUUCAGCAGUUUGAUGAACCAUCUCCGGUCCCAUAAACUGCUUUUCCCCAGCCUCAAGCCAACAAGACGGCGUACGACACUUCUGUCCAUACAAAGCUUGAUAAGGUGCCAUCUUAAUGCUCGAGUGAAAACUAUUAUUAUAGGAAAAUUCUACCAACGGUAAAUGUUCAUCCCAAUUACCUAGGAAUUCCAAGGUACAUGCUCUCAGCAUAUCUUCAAGUGUUUGUAUUGUUCUUUCACUCUGACCAUCAGUCUGCGGAUGGUAAGCUGUGCUUAAACAUAACUUGGUACCCAUUUCCUCUUGUAGACUUUUCCAAAACCUUGAGGUGAAACGGCUAUCACGAUCCGAUACAAUCGUUAACGGAACACCGUGAAGCCUCACAAUUUCCUUCACGUAAGAAUUCGCAAGCUUUUCCAUAGACCAUUUCUCCCUGGCCGCUAUGAAAUGCGCACUCUUAGUGAAUCGAUCAACGACCACCCAAAUCAUGUCGUGACCAUUCUUUGUUCUGGGCAGUUUAGUGACAAAAUCCAUAGCAAUGUCUUCCCACUUACCCAUAGGCACAGGCAAUGGUUCUAAACUCCCGUAAGGUUUCUGAUGUUGUGUCUUGACUCUCGCACAAGUCACACACUCGGCCACAUACUUUGCAACAUCAAGCUUCAUCGUCGGCCACCAGUAGUAGGGUUUCAGGUCCCUAUACAUUUUAGUGCUACCCGGAUGAAUUGAGUACAUGGUUUUGUGAGCUUCUUCCAUCAGAAGAUCCCUAAUUCCUCCUGACUUAGGUACCCAAAUACGAUCUUGGAAUACCUUCAGUCCAUGACCGUUAGUACCAAACACCAACGUUUUACCCAAACGUUCCUCCUUUCGGUCAUUUUUCUCAGAAGCUUCCUCUUGAGCUUUCUUUAUACUUUCCACAAUAGUCGAGACAACUUCAAUUCUCAACGCUCUUGGCCUCUUCCUUUCAAGAUUGACUUUCCGACUGAGAGCAUCAGCAACAACAUUAGCUUUACCGGGGUGGUAAAGUAUCUCGCAGUCGUAGUCUUUAAGUAAUUCUAGCCAGCGUCGUUGCCUCAUAUUCAAUUCUUUCUGAUUAAAGAGGUAUUGGAGACUCUUAUGAUCAGUGAAAAGUUUGCACUUCGUGCCAUAGAGGUAAUGCCUCCAUAUUUUCAGAGCGAAAACUACCGCUGCCAACUCCAAAUCAUGAGUCGGGUAAUUCUUUUCAUGCUCUUUCAGCUGUCGAGACGCAUAUGCUAUCACCUUUUCUCUUUGGGUCAAAACACAACCCAAUCCAACACCAGACGCAUCGCUAUAAACAGCGAAGUCUUCAACUCCAUCGGGUAGAGAAAGUAUCGGUGCCUCGCAUAGCUUCUUCUUUAACUUCUCGAAUGCUUCUUUAUGCUUCUCACUCCAAGCAUAAGUAGCUCCUUUGUGGGUCAAAGCUGUUAAUGGAGUAGCAAUCGAAGAAAAGCCUUGGAUAAACCUUCGGUAAUAUCCGGCUAAUCCUAAAAAGCUUCGAAUCUCCGUGGGACUUUUCGGUUGUUCCCACUUCGUCACAGCUUCGAUCUUCGCUGGAUCAACCAUUAUCCCUUCUUGGUUGACCACGUGACCCAAGAAUUGGACCUCACGAAUCCAAAAAUCACAUUUGGAGAACUUCGCAUAAAGCUUCUCCUUCUUCAAAACUUCUAACACUUCUCGCAAGUGUCUGCCAUGCUCCUCCUGGCUUUUCGAGUAGAUCAGAAUGUCGUCUAUGAACACUAUCACGGAUUUAUCAAGGAAAGGAUUACAAACCCUAUUCAUCAAAUCCAUGAACGCUGCUGGAGCAUUGGUUAGUCCAAACGACAUAACCAAGAACUCGUAGUGUCCAUAUCUAGUUCUGAAUGCAGUCUUCUCGAUAUCUUGCUCUCUUACUUUCAGCUGAUGAUAUCCUGACCUAAGAUCGAUCUUCGAGAAAUAGCUCGAACCUUGCAAUUGAUCAAACAGGUCAUCAAUCCUCGGCAACGGAUAUCUAUUCUUUAUUGUUGCCUUGUUCAGCUCUCUGUAAUCGAUGCACAUUCUCAUACUUCCAUCUUUCUUCUUUACAAAUAACACCGGAGCUCCCCAGGGCGAUGAACUAGGUCUAAUGAAACCUUUGUCCAAUAACUCCUGAAGUUGCAUCAUCAGCUCCUUCAUCUCCGUCGGUGCUAAUCGAUAAGGUGCUUUUGCUAUUGGCGUGGUUCCUGGUAACAAGUCUAUUCUGAACUCCACUUGUCUAUCAGGUGGUAAUCCAGGAAGAUCCUCGGGAAAUACUUCCGGAUAAUCACACACCACUGGAAUGCUCUGCAUCACCUUCUUUUCUUUCUUAGCAUCAAUCACGAAUGCUAAAUAUGAUGUACAUCCCUUGGUCAAACACUUUCUGGCUUUCAUUAGAGAAAUGAUUCCAGAAUUCACUCUGCGUUUGUCCCCAUACACCAUAAACGAAUCUUUUCCAGGCGGGUUUACUUUAACUAUCUUCUUCUUGCAUAAAAUUUCGGCAUCAUUGGCGCUAAGCCAAUCCAUUCCCAAGACGAUGUCGAAACCAUUAAGUUCGAUAGGCAAUAACGCCUCGUGAAACUUAUUCCCAUUAAGGUCGAUUAAGAUGUUUUUCAUACGAUGGCUAACAGGUACAAACUUGCCACUAGCUACUUCGACUAAUAAAGCAUUAUCUAGUCUAUCAACAGGCAAAGCUAGCUUUCUACCAAACUCAUGCGAAAUAAAGGAGUAGUUGGCUCCAGAAUCAAACAAUAUAUGAGCAGGUAAUUCGUUUACGAGAAAGGUACCUGAAGCGACAUCAGCUUCAUCUUUCGCAGCCUCAAGUGUCAUCUGGAAGGCUCUCGCCUUCGGCUUUGGUGGAAUGUUGGGCCUAGCUGCCUCCUUCUUCUUCGGACAGUCUUUCAAAAUAUGCCCCUCUUCAUUACACCCAAAACACAUCCUUUUGUUGUUCGGACAUUCAUUGGCAAAAUGUCCAACCUUUCCACACUUGUAGCAGGUCACAUCCUCGCUACAUUUCCCAAAGUGCUUUUUCUUACACUUAUCACACCACUUUGCUUCGCCUCCUUUUCCUCCAAACUUUUUCGAAUCAGAUUUCGAAAAUUUGCUCUUCUUACUGGAACCAGAUGUUCCUUCAAACUUCCUUUUCUCACCAACCUCAACCUUGACGGUGGUUCUCCCCUUGAUCAUGUUCUCCACAGACUUGGCAGCCCAGAUAGCUGCCUCUAGAGUAAGUGCCUGACGUACCGGCACCUCGUACUCCCAUGGAAGUCCCUUCGCAUACCGAUCCACCUUUGUCAGCUCGUCUGGAACGAUACGCAAGGCAAACUCCAUCUUAUCGGUGAAGUUAUUGGUGUACUCAUCCACUGACAUGCUACCCUUCGUCAAUGUCAAAAACUUGUUCUCCAACUCCAACAGAUUUUGAGCCGAGCAGAACUUGCGCUUGAACUGCACCAAGAACUCUGCCCAUGACAAUUGCAGUGGCUCAUUAGGGCUUAAGGUCUUCCCUAGAGUGUUCCACCAACGAACGGCUCCACCUCGGAAUUGUCGCACGGCAUAGAUAGUCUGCAACUUGCCUCUACAGCCACAUGUCAUAAAGGCUAACUCCAUUUCGGAGAUCCAAUCCAUAACCCCAAUCGGAUCCUCCUUUCCAUUGAAGGUCGAUGGUUUACAAGUCAAAAAGUCCUUGUACUUGCAUCCCAUUCCAUCAUUCCUUCCAUCAUGGUUAUCUUGCCUAACUAUCGGUGGGUUGGCUGGACCAACAGACCCACUGAAGUUUCCACCUUCCGAGUGCCCUUCAUUCAGUUCAGGCUCUUCCACACGAAUCGACAGUUCUUCACGAUUUUGUUGAAGCAACCGUCUAGUUUCAUCCAUCUGACGAUCCAACAUCGUCUGAAUCAUCAAUUGCACACCAGCCAUGGUUAUUGGCUCAGGUGCUGCUGCUACGACAGGUAUUGGCUCAAUCACUGGUGGUUGAUUCCUGUUUUCGUCAGCAUUUCCAACUCCACUUCUUGUUCUCACCAUUUUGAUCUACACCGAAUAAGGUGAAAUUAGAUCCUCAAUCAUGAUAGAUAUUCAAAUCAUCCUUAUCACUCCGAAACGUUUACAUGCUAGUUCUAAUAUCGUAGACGUACGCUUAGAAUCCUACACACAUAAGGUUUCUAGAUCCGGUCGGCAACAGACCAUAGAUCCGAACAAAUAAUAUCAUAUAUGGCAACAUAUAACAUUUAGCACAUAAAGCAUUUUAGGCAACUUUCCUAAAAUAAACUAGUGCUCGUGUCUAAAUCACAACAGACACACAUCUCAAAAUUUCACUUAGCAUUCUAAGUUUAAGUCUAGAAAUCCUACAAAUUCCUAGUUCGCUUAAACUAAUGCUCUGAUACCAACUGUGACAUCCCCAAAAUCUCGGCCAGAAAAGACCGAUUUUCAUUUAUGCUUUUAAAUAUUUUCAGAGUAAAUCCUUUUGAUUUGAAAGAGUUGCGGAAUUUGUUCCCAAAAACAAAACAUGAUAAAACAUUGUUUACCGAAGCAUUUCAUAAAAGAAAUGUAUUUUCAUUAUAAUCAAAACUCGGGGUGUCAUGUUCCGAUACAGACCAAUAAGCAUAAACGAAUACAUUACAAGUCAUAUAACAAAUAUAAACAUAUGCAGACUUGUAAACAAAACAACUUGAUGGUUCAUCCAUCUCAUGCCCUUCCGCCACUACCUGUAAUACAAUUUAAAACUGAGUGGGUCAGGCUUGGGAGCCUGGUGAGCAUAUAGGGUUUUCAACCCACAAUAAAUAUCAUAUUUAAUUUUCACCAACCAACAAUAACCCAAUUACCCAUUCCCGUUAUUCUCACUUUAAUGUCCCUAAAACAACUAACAUAAGGGACCUAGUCUAAGAAUAUUUCAUCGGGGCGACAACACAUGCUUCGGGGGUACCUCAGCAAUAUAAGUCAAAUAAGGCAACCAUGAGGGGGAUGGAGUACAGCGAAUGAACACCCAAGUUCAUUAACACCUACAGGUGGCGAACCUGCUAAUGUUUCCACAAGACUAUCUAGAAAAGUAUGUGGUCGUCAUCUAAACUCCGCUAGAUGACUAAAUCAAACAACAACGAGGCCUCUCAUCUGUUUAUUACACACCAACUAUCUACCCAUGUUCUACCCAACAUAUUAGUAGAUAAAAAUAUACAUUUGUAUACAUAGUUUAAAAACCUGUAUAGCAUGCUUUAAUCGACACAUAUAUCACAUAACAGAUGAGGCACACACACACAUAACACAUAUCUCAUAGAGAAAUAAUCAGAUCUAUAAGAUAGAAGAGAGUGAAUACACAUUCACACAUAACACAACCAAAUAUAUACACAUAGCACGUAUUUUAUAUAAAAUACUUCAUAUUAUUGUAUUUGGAAGAAAAUAACUACACACUCACUUGAUCAGAAGAUGAUCGGACAGCACUACGACUUGCAAAAGUAGUAAUCCUCAGCAGAUCUGGAAGAUCUC